UUCCUUUCAUAGCUCAGCUGGUAGAGCAUGAACCUCUUAAUCUCGGGGCCGUGGGUUCAAGCCUCACAUUGGGCCAAA